UACGGAGGGUGCAAGCGUUAUCCGGAUUCACUGGGUUUAAAGGGUGCGUAGGUGGGCAGGUAAGUCAGUGGUGAAAUCUCCGGGCUUAACUCGGAAACUGCUAUUGAUACUAUCUGUCUUGAAUACCGUGGAGGUUAGCGGAAUAUGUCAUGUAGCGGUGAAAUGCUUAGAUAUGACAUAGAACACCAAUUGCGAAGGCAGCUGGCUACACGAAUAUUGACACUGAUGCACGAAAGCGUGGGGAUCAAACAGG
rnacentral:rRNA from 1 species